UACAGAGGGGGCAAGCGUUGUUCGGAAUUACUGGGCGUAAAGGGCGCGUAGGCGGUCCUGUAAGUCUUGUGUGAAAUCCCUCGGCUUAACUGAGGAACUGCACGAGAUACUGCGAGACUUGAGUUCGGGAGAGGAAAGCGGAAUUCCGGGUGUAGCGGUGAAAUGCGUAGAUAUCCGGAGGAAAACCGGUGGCGAAGGCGGCUUUCUGGACCGACACUGACGCUGAGGCGCGAAAGCUAGGGGAGCAAACGGG
rnacentral:rRNA from 1 species